UGUUGUGCACAAACAAUGAAUCAUGGAACACCACAUCUAAAACUAAUGAUGUAAUGUAGGGGAUUAACAUAAGAAUAAAAAAAAGAAGAAGAAAAGCACACUGGUAUAAGAUUGAGAUUUGGGUUUUCUAUGUUAAAAUGACAAGGUUUUCUUGGAUUGUUAGUGUACUCUUUUUUUCUUUCUUAAGAUUGUAUUUAUUUAUUUGACAGAGAGAGACACAGCGAGAGAGGGAACACAAGCAGGGGGAGCGGGAGAGGGAGAAGCAGGCUCCCGGCCAAGCAGAGAGCCCGAUGUGGGGCUCGAUCCCAAGACCCUGGGAUCAUGACCUGAGCCGAAGGCCGACAGACGCUUGACGACUGAGCCACCCAGGCGCUCCUCCGAGAUUUUAUUUUUUAAAUAAUCUCUACACUGAACGUGGGGCUCGAACUCACAACCCUGAGAUCAAGAGUCGUGCUCUCUACCGACUGAGCCAGCCAGGUGCCCCUGGACUGUCAUCUCGAAGAGACACAUGCGUAGACUCAGAUAUGGCCCUGCUACCAAAUACUGGCUGUCUCUGCAGAAGUCUGGACUCAAGGUCAACUGAUAAUGGCUGCAGCCUAUGAAGAAGCGAGGUCCUGAUUCCUUACCUGAGAAAAGGAGCCUAAGACCCCAUCCAGGUUGUACCAGCUCUCAGAGCAUGCCCACAGCCUCUUCUCCUUGUCCUCAGAUAACCUCCUGACAUCAGGGACUCAGUUUUGCCUCAUUCAGAUGUCAGGUCUCCACCCCGAAGUAAACAUGGGAAUCUAUGAGAAAUUAGAUCCCAUCCAGCAAGAGCUGAAUCCGAGUCCUCUGCUCACCCCACGACGGAAAAGAAUAUGCACAGGCCUGCAUCCCUCUUCUCCUUCUCCACCAUGUCGGAAGAAAAGAUUUUACUGGACAGAGACACAGCGAGAGAGGGAACGCAAGCAGAGGGAGUGGGAGAGGGAGAAGCGGGCUUCCCGCCGAGCAGGGAGCCCGAUGCGGGGCUCGAUUAUCGGGACCCUGGCACCCUGGCACCCUGGCACCCUGGGAUCAUGACCUGAGCCGAAGGCAGACGCUUAAUGACUGAGCCACCCAGUCGCCCCCCACUUUCCACCUUGACCGUGCCUAGUCGUCCACCCGUCUAGUCCUCUUGGCCGCGCCUGGUCUUGCCCUCGAAUGUGUUCGUCUGGAGCACAGAGCUAGAUCCAGAGAAUGAGAGAAUGAGAUCGAUGGACCCACGGACGGAAAUCAAGUUUCUCUUUCCCUGAAAUGACCUAGGACACUCCUCUUCUAGUCAGCUCCCAUCCUGCUCCCCCACCCCCAACAACCUCUCAUCGGACCUUCCCCUUUUGCCACCAGAAAGCUUUUCCACUCCUCCGCCUGGCCUGCGUUUGCUUGGCGUCUCUGCCAGACCCAGGCGGUGGUGGCCGACCGCAGACUCUCUUGCCCUCAAGAAAUGAUUCCCGCUCUCAUGUGGGUGAUCUUUUAUCUCCACAGAGGUGGCUCACAAAGCUGCACAACCUUCACUGCAAUUUCCAGAACAUUUCCAUCACCGCCAAAAGAAAUAAACACCUCUACUACCCCUCCCCCCUUCCUGUCCGCGCCUCGCCCCCACCCGCCGUCACCGUCGCCCUCGCCGUCACCGUCGCCCUCGCCCUCACCCGGGCUCUCUUCACUGUUCUCCCCCAACAGGGAGUAGAAAGGGAAGUUAGAGGGAACAUUCUUCCUCCCCUACACCUGCUGAACGCACAUGGACACACACCGCAACCCUCCCCGCCAGGCGCGCGCACCCACCCACCCCCGCCCCGCCAAGCCCCGCCCCGCCACGCCACGCCACGCCACGCCCCCCAUCCCGGCCUUACGUGUACCUUACGUACCUCUGCACGGACUCGAGAUUUGGCAAUAGCCUUGAUUGCCCUGCAAUGUUUCCAAACCUCGGCGCUCCCCAACCUUCCCCACCCCGACCCCCGCCCCUUCGAAGAAGAACUAACCUAAUUCGGGGAGCUUCCAGGUUGCUUGAACGCCUGAAAUGGUGGGGACAGAGGCGUUCCUGGAGAGGGGUCACGGAACACGGAAGCUCUGCCCCCCUUCCCUUUGCCUCUGUUCCAUCUGGAGUUUCCUCAGUUGUAUCCUUUUAGGACACAGCGGUCAUGUAAGAAAUGAGAAAAAAAAGGACUGAAGGACUGAACCGGGCUAGACUGGUUUAAAAUUCUUCACUAGCGUCCAUGCCGAAUACAUUUCGACGACAGGGGCCUUCGCACGGCUUUUGGUGCACAGAAGACCGAUGCACCGAAGCCUGCCGAUCUCGGGACGUGUCCACGAGGGGAAAGAGUGUCAGCCUAUCGGAAAAGAGAGUCGGUUAACGUAGAUUGCAAAGGCAUUCGUUCAUCCCGAGAGACUUCCUCUCCAUGAUGGCGGGUGGCGCGAGAUGGAAGAGUUGGCUUCCAUGAAAAAGGGGCCCUUUCUUGAAGACCCUGCCCAGCUAUCGGGGUUUUGUUGGUUUGUGUUUUGUCAUCUGUGAUAGGAAGGCAUCUUCUUAGCCAUCGGGAGGGAAACCUCAACAAAUUCAGCCAUUCAGAUCACAAGGGAUUUCUUGGGUUUGGUGGAUCUGAGAUCUGGUCUGCCUCCGACUGCUCCCCGAGAUUGCCUUUAUGCCGAGAAUGGGAUUCCUCAUCAGACACACAGAAGUCCGGCUCCUUGCCACGGAGCUGGCUGCUCUAUGGAUGCCUUUAAAAAGGAAGCCUGCCUUUAAUUCGGACGUCGGAACGUGAUCGGUCGCUUUUUCAUGGGGGGUUGGCCAAUUAAAUUUCCCCCGCCUUGGGCGCCUGGGUGGCUCAGUUGGUUAAGCGGCUGCCUUCGGCUCCGGUCAUGAUCCUGGAGUCCCUGGAUCGAGUCCCGCAUCGGGCUCCCUGCUCAGCAGGGAGUCUGCUUCUCCCUCUGACCCUCCCCCCUCUCAUGUGCUCUCUCUCAUUCAUUCUCUCUCUCUCUCUCUCUCUCUCUCUCUCUCUGUCUCAAAUAAAUAAACAAACAAACAAACAAACAAAUAAAUAAAUAAAUAAAAUCUUAAAAAAAAAAAAUUCCCCCCGCCUUACAAAGCAGAGACUGGUGAAGGGUCCUCCAAGUGCCCUCUGGAAAUCAAGAGCUUCUGUAUCAAGAGGCUGGAAAACGCAUCUUCCCCUUCUUCCUGGUGAAUCCAAUUCUAGGGGUUGAUUCAAAGGAAAUCAUGUUUUAGAUGCUAAAACGUAAAGCUUACUUUUGCAAAAAUGUGCAUCGCGGCAUAGGGUUUAGGAAUCCCUUGUGGCAGACCGACAACCGUGUGUCCCUCACGUCCCGGCACGUGUGCACCCUCACGUCCUAUGACUUCGAUGCUCCUGCUAUCCAGAGGUAGGCUUGAUUGCUCUGUCCCUUGAUUUUGGACCGGGUCUUGGGACUUGUCUUGACCCAAAGAAUAGAGCAGAAGUGACACUUGGCUGGUUUCACAGCCUACACCUGAAGAGGUGGUCUGCCGGCGUUCUCGACCUUCUUGGCAUGCCGUCCUGAGACCUCCACGUAAGAAAGCCAGUCUAGCUGACUGGAGCAUGAGAGGCAUUGACAACAGAGGCAGCCCGGUGCUCGGCGGCACCGACUGCCAGACGUGUGAAAGUUGACCCUCUGGCCGAAAGCCACUGCUUGAGUGAGCCCGGCGUAAACCCGCAGAACCCAAGGGGCCACCCAGGGCAAGCACCAGGAAGUUAUCGAUAAAGAAAUGCUGUUUCGAGCCAUUGCGGUGUUAGGAUGAUGCACCCUGAGGAUCAGCUAGCUGCGCAGCAGCGAUAGAUACCGUGCACACAGAUACACACCACACAACACACCACACCACACCCCCCCCCCACACACACGUGUGCAGAAAACCAAACCAACGAAACAAACCAAAACUCUGUAGAACCCUGCACCAAAUGUUGAGGAAACAACGGCCCACCCUCACAAGAAACACCUGCACGCUACAUGUACAAUGCAUAGGGAGCCUAUACUUGCAAGUGCUUACUUGCAUGGGAAACAUUUCACGAUAACAUGAGUCUCAGAUGGCCCAAGCGGGGUUCUUUUGACAUGUCUGAAUUGUGUACACAAUUAGAGAAAGCCUGCUAGGAGACUGGGUGAUCAGAAACUAGGAAGCUCUUUGGUUCCCUCAGUGAAGCCCCGACUUUUGGGGAGGAACCAACACUCAGGGAGAUGCUCUGGUCUUCAUUUGGUUGGUUGGUUGGUUGGUUGGUUGGUUGGUUGGUUGCUGCAGCUUUUGCUAUCUUUGCAUAAAACCGACCCUGUUUCCAUUGGGAAUGGAAAACAACUGACGGGUGGGAUCUGUACACGGUAAUGCUGCUUCGCAGUUGCAUUUGUUUUACUAAAAGAGGGAGAUUUGAACAUUGGGUCUUUCGUGUCCUCUCCAUUCAUGUCCUCUCCACAAAUAAGACUGAAACAAAGGCUAAAAUUUGUUUGCAUCUUGUUUGUGUCUAUGUGUCCGUAUGUGUUAUACAUGUGAGGUAUUUCCUCCACCUCCGGGUGCUAUUGCUAACAUCCAUUUGUAAAGGAGCUCUAUUUAAUGAGUUCUAUUUUUAUUUUAUUUUAUUUUAUUUUAUUUAUUUUAUUCUUUAAAGAUUUUAUUUAUUUAUUUGACAGAGAGAGACACAGCGAGAGAGGGAACACAAGCAGGCGGAGUGGGAGAGGGAGAAGCAGGCUUCCCGCCGAGCAGGGAGCCCGAUGCAGGGGCUUGAUCCCAGGACCCUCGGAUCAUGACCUGAGCUAAAGGCAGACGCUUAACCACUGAGCCAUCCAGUCAAAAUAAUGAAGAAGAGGAGGAAGACAGGCCGAUGCUAGAAAUCUGAAAUCCACUCCUCCUCCUCCCCAAGUACAGGCACCAGAACCGAUGCCCAACCCACUGGCUUCCGGAGGGCUGAAAAGCCACCACAGACAAAGCCUAUUAAGCAGAAGGAGAUGAAGA